rnacentral:rRNA from 1 species
CUGAAUCGAGGAGUCGAUUUAGCCAUGCUAGUUGUACGAGUUCAGACUCGUAGCAGAUAGCUCAGUAACACGUGGCCAAACUACCCUAUGGAUCCAGACAACCUCGGGAAACUGAGGCUAAUCUGGAAUAGGGCUCUCAUCCUGGAGUGGAGAGAGCCUGAAAUGUUCCGGCGCCAUAGGAUGUGGCUGCGGCCGAUUAGGUAGACGGUGGGGUAACGGCCCACCGUGCCAGUAAUCGGUACGGGUUGUGAGAGCAAGAGCCCGGAGACGGUAUCUGAGACAAGAUACCGGGCCCUACGGGGCGCAGCAGGCGCGAAACCUUUACACUGCACGCCAGUGCGAUAAGGGGACUCCAAGUGCGAGGGCAUAUAGUCCUCGCUUUUUGCGACCGUAAGGUGGUCGCGGAAUAAGUGCUGGGCAAGACCGGUGCCAGCCGCCGCGGUAAUACCGGCAGCACGAGUGAUGACCGCUGUUAUUGGGCCUAAAGCGUCCGUAGCUGGCCGCGCAAGUCUAUCGGGAAAUCUCUCCGCUUAACGGAGAGGCGUCCGGUGGAAACUGUGUGGCUUGGGACCGGAAGACCAGAGGGGUACGUCUGGGGUAGGAGUGAAAUCCCGUAAUCCUGGACGGACCACCGGUGGCGAAAGCGCCUCUGGAAGACGGAUCCGACGGUGAGGGACGAAAGCUCGGGUCACGAACCGGAUUAGAUACCCGGGUAGUCCGAGCUGUAAACGAUGUCUGCUAGGUGUGACACAGGCUACGAGCCUGUGUUGUGCCGUAGGGAAGCCGUGAAGCAGACCGCCUGGGAAGUACGUCCGCAAGGAUGAAACUUAAAGGAAUUGGCGGGGGAGCACUACAACCGGAGGAGCCUGCGGUUUAAUUGGACUCAACGCCGGACAUCUCACCAGCAUCGACAAUGUGCAGUGACGGUCAGUGUGAUGAGCUUACCUGAGCCAUUGAGAGGAGGUGCAUGGCCGCCGUCAGCUCGUACCGUGAGGCGUCCUGUUAAGUCAGGCAACGAGCGAGACCCGCACUCCUUAAUGCCAGCAACACCCUUGUGGUGUGGUACAUUAGAGACUGCAGUGCAAACUGGAGGAGAACGGCACGUUAGUCAGUAUGCUCCGAAUGGUGCUGGCGACCCGCGGGCUACAUUGCACGGACGUGGAAUGCACGUCGAAGCGACGCUAUCCGAACGUCUGAGUCGAUGAGGCUGACUGCCCUCAAUGAAGAGCGUGGAAUUCCG